AGAGAAAGUAAGGCUGAAAGAGCAGCUUCGGAAAGCACUUGAAGAAGUGAUACGCAAACAUGCCAGUGAGCUGCGGCAAGCGCAUGCAAUGCUGGAUGCAGAGAAAAAGAAGACGCAGCAGAUUGAGGAGCAGAUGAAAACCGGAGAAGAAGAGAGAAAGGCUUUAGAGACAGAGAGGGAAGAGCUACACAACCAACUACAGCUGUCCAACAGAGAGAUGGCGAAAUUGGAGGGAGUGAUUCAGACGCUGGAGAGAGAAAGAGAAGAGGAGAAGGAAAGGGCAAAAGAGAGAGAGCAGGAGUAUGCAAAGGUGGAGCGGCAGUCAGCAUGUGGCCCGGAGUGUGUACGAGUGAAAGAAGAACUGGAAAACACACACAGCAGUAUGCAGCAAAUACAGGAGGAGUUUGCUGCACAGAAGGAAGUGUUACAGGCAGAGAUUUCUGCUCUACAGCAAGAAAGAGACAUUCUACAACAGUCCAAUCAUGGUAUAGAGGAGAGAAUCAGGCUACAGUUUGAGAAGCAGUUCUCUGAUCAGAUUGUGGAAAUGAAGAGAGAAAGAGAGGAAGAGAUCAGAAAGAUGAACCAACAGUGGCAACACAGAGUUGAAGAACUGCAGACACAGGUAACACACACUGACAGUUUCCUCAGACCCAUCAUACACACUGUUCACGCUAUCAGCAUUAUUUUACUGUCUCUGUGUGUAGUUGGAGGAGAGGAGAGCACUCUCAGAGAAGAUGGAAGGAGAGAGAGAGAGACGCUACGGUAAUGGAGAGAUGGAACGAAUGAAGCAGGAGAUCCAAAAGACAAGAGAUAUGAACAGCACGCUCAGAUCUCAGCUUCAUUCCACCAUUCAAGAGAAAGAGAGACUGAUGAGGCAGCAGUUACAAGUGCGUAUACACUAGGGCUGUCGGGAGAUCAAAAGAUUUCUUAUGAUUCAUAUA
rnacentral:lncRNA from 1 species